GGUCGAAAAAUGUUGAUCAGGAGAAAUCGAAGAGCUAUUGUAUUCUCUAACACAAUCUAUCUGUUGUAAUUUUAAGUCGCGUUAUUUUUAUAGCUUACAGUGAAGAAUACCAUACGUGUCUGACUUAUGUGUUGAGGGAAUUUCAUGAAAUAUUGGGAAGAUCAGGGUGUAUUGACAUAUCACAAUUACUAUUGUAUGUUGAACGAAUUUCACAAGAAGCUUAAAAUGAAAGAAACAGUAGGUGGUCUUUCAAAGGGCAGGUCAGGGUGAAUCGAUAUAUCACAUUGUAUGCUGAACAAAUUUCACAAGAAUAUUAGAAUGAAAGAAACAGUAGGCAGUCUUUCAAAGGUGAAAUAAAACAUAUAUUACCUCGGCUCAAAUAUCUGCUGGAUAGUCAGAGAAAGAUGAAGACGUUUCACAACGGCAAGCCUUUACUUCGUCCCGAUACGAUGUCUGAUCGUGGCGGUGUGCAGCCCUUAACAGAGACUCAGCUUGCUGUUAAGUCAAUCCCUACUGAGAGUCUUCCACCAGUAAUUGAUUUUUAUUGCGUUGGAUAUGCAACCCUUGAAAACAUCCCAGAAGAAGCUCUCCAAGGUUUGUCACAAGCCGAAAACUCCAACUUUGAUGAUGUGCAGUAAAUUGAGUCAAAUAAUUUGGAUUAUGAUGCCCACAACGUUUAUUCAGUCGAUGAGGUUUCUGAGUUAGCUCGGAUCACGUCAGAGUUGUUUGCUGAUGUGGGUGUAAAUUGUGGCAGUGCCUCAGUUCCCUACCCUGAAGAGGCACUACCUACGGAGAACGUGCAGCCGAUGGAUCUAGGCGGGGUGCCACUCCUUCAAGAAUCGCCACAACACAAUUCUUCCGUCAUCGGGUCAUCGGUGUUAGCUGAGGUGGGUGUAAAUUGUGGCAGUGUCUCAGUUCCCUACACUGAAGAGGCACUACCUACGGAGAACGUGCAGCCGAUGGAUCUAGACGGGGUGCCACUCCUUCAAGAAACGCCACAACACAAUUCUUCCGUCAAUAUGCAAGACGAAUAUGCAGGCAGGAGUUUAAAUGAAGAAGAAUCCGUUGGUACAAUGCGAGUACCUUUACAAGAAAUAAUUCAAAACGAAGCCAACCAAGAUCCAAAACUCCAAGCUGAAAUACCACGCAGUAUAAAAGACCGUAUACGAGACCUGCACGCCCAAAUGCAUACACAUGAUGUUGAGGCCAAAUAUCAUCUUAACGAAAUCGAUAAAAAACGAAAAGACCAAGAUGCGACUAUCACCCGCCAUCAUCAAAUCGUGAAGAUAAAGGCUGCAUGUUCGACUGUUGCAGAAAAAUUGAAGAAGGAGCAAGAGCAGUUGAAGGAGCAAGAGCAG